UACGAAGGUCCCAAGCGUUGUUCGGAAUCACUGGGCGUAAAGGGAGCGUAGGCGGCGUGGUAAGUCAGAUGUGAAAUCCCGGGGCUCAACCCCGGAACUGCAUCCGAUACUGCCAUGCUUGAGGGUUGGAGAGGUAGCUGGAAUUCCUGGUGUAGCGGUGAAAUGCGCAGAUAUCAGGAAGAACACCCGUGGCGAAGGCGGCUCUCUGGAACGCAACUGACGCUGAGACGCGAAAGCGUGGGGAGCAAACAGG
rnacentral:rRNA from 1 species